UAGCCUCUGGCUAUAGGAAAUUGUUAGUGGCAGACGGGUGAGUAAUGCGUAGGAAUCUACCUAGUAGUACGGAAUAGCCAUUAGAAAUGGUGGGUAAUACUUGUAUAAUCCCCGAGGGGGAAAGAUUUAUCGCUAUUAGAUGAGCCUACGUUAGAUUAGCUAGUUGGUGAGGUAAUGGCUUACCAAGGCUAUGAUCUAUAGCUGGUCUGAGAGGACGAUCAGCCACACUGGAACUGAGAUACGGUCCAGACUCCUACGGGAGGCAGCAGUGGGGAAUAUUGGACAAUGGGCGAAAGCCUGAUCCAGCUAUGCCGCGUGAGUGAAGAAGGCCUUCGGGUUGUAAAACUCUUUCAAUAGGGAAGAUA
rnacentral:rRNA from 1 species